rnacentral:lncRNA from 1 species
UUUCUUCUCAUCUUUCUCUCUUUUCAACCUGUUCAAAUUUUUUUCUCAUUCUCAUUUUUAUUUUGGUGGGGUUUGAAACUGAACCCUCUUCUUCCAUUUCUUAAUGUAAUUUCUUAGGUAUAAUAUGAAAAGUUUCACGACAAAACAAAUUACAUCAUCUUCUAUAUUUUCUUUGUUCUUGAGUCUUAGCUUAUUCGAGAUAAAUUAUUUAUAUAUGAAAUUAUAUAUUGCGAUCAAGAAAAGAAAAGAAAAGGCAGAGACCCACCAAUAUAGUAUUUUUUUAUACAAAAAAGAAUAAUCAAAUGAUGAAUUGUUGCGAUCAAGAAAAAAAAAAGAAAAGUUGAGAGCCACCAAUAUAGCAUUCUUUCUUUAUAUUAAAAAGAAUAAUCAAAUGAUGAAUUGCUUCCCUUGUUUCCAGUCUCCAAAAAGCAAGAAAUCUGC